rnacentral:rRNA from 1 species
UACGGAGGAGGCAAGCGUUAUCCGGAAUUAUUGGGCGUAAAGCGUCCGCAGGUGGCACCUCAAGUCUGCUGUCAAAGCCCGGGGCUUAACCCCAGAAAGGCAGUGGAAACUGAAGCGCUAGAGUGCAGUAGGGGUAGAGGGAAUUCCCGGUGUAGCGGUGAAAUGCGUAGAGAUCGGGAAGAACAUCGGUGGCGAAAGCGCUCUGCUGGACUGCAACUGACACUCAGGGACGAAAGCUAGGGGAGCGAAUGGG